rnacentral:misc_RNA from 1 species
UCCAGCUUAUCGCUGGCGGUCUCCUGAGAGUGCCCCCUUGCGGGGUUGCAACACAGGACAAGGGUUGCGCUCGUUGCGGGACUUAACCCAACAUCUCACGGCACGAGCUGACGACAGCCAUGCAGCACCUGUGCUAGCCCUAUAACGACACGGGCUUUCACCCGCUUUAACUAGCAUGUCAAACCCAGGUAAGGUUCUUCGCGUUGCAUCGAAUUAAGCCACAUGCUCCGCCGCUUGUGCGGGCCCCCGUCAAUUCCUUUGAGUUUUAGCCUUGCGGCCGUACUCCCCAGGCGGAGUGCUUAAUGCGUUAGCUGCGGCACAGAGCGGGUUGAAGACCGCCCCACACCUAGCGCCCAACGUUUACGGCAUGGACUAC